rnacentral:lncRNA from 1 species
GGCUGGUCUCGACCUCCCGACAUCACGUGAUCUGCCCGCCUCAGCAUCCGAAAGUGCUGGGAUUACAGAUGUGACCUAUCGUGCCCAGCCGCUAAACCUCAUCUUUAAAAAAGAAGAACAAAAUAGAACAUGGACAAGAUGGCUGGGGUCCUGUGGAGUUCUAGUAAUCUUCUUACGAUAAUAAAGCAACCUUAUGCCAUAUGAUAUGCUAAGGAUGGAGGAAGAUAGAGUCUAGGUGCCUGAUGACAACAUGGAGCUGUCAAGCCCUGCAUUGCCUCCCCCUGGACGUCUCAUUAUGGGAGAAAAUGAAGCAAUUUGUUUAAGCCACA